GCCGCCGUGGUGAAACUGGUAGACACGUGGGUCUCAAAAACCCAUGAGGGCAACCUCGUGUCGGUUCGACUCCGACCGGCGGCA
rnacentral:tRNA from 1 species